CUCGCAAUCGUUUCUUUCUCAGUUUCUUAUAAUUGUUUCUUUCUUCCAUUCUGUGUCGUUGUUCUUUCUUCCAAAUGCCAACUGAGUGAAGCAUCGAGGUGAAGAGACAAGUCAGCUCUCCCUGCGGCUCCUCUUGCUCAUCUCGUUGCUCUCCGCCUCUCUGAUAAGGACAUAAGGCCACAAUACUAAGGUUGCUAAGGAAGGAUUUCAUGGGAGUGACUCUGAAAAUUUGGCUGUGGAAGCUCUUAAACUACUCAAGGAAAAUGCACACAAAUUGUUUGUAGAAAUGCCUAAAAGAAGGGUUCCAUAUACACUGAUUCUCACAUACGAAUUAACCAGUUCUAAAUCUGUUGAUUGUGUCAACAGAAUGUACCUUUUGGAAAAAAAACCUAACAGGGAGUACGAUCAGAUACUGAAGUUGGAUCUAAUUUCUCAAGUUCACAAAGAUUUUUAAUAUUCUAAGGUUCAAUUCUUUUCAACACCGCAUAGCAGAGGAUGAUUAAGGCCUCGUUUGAUAGUUGCUGAUUGAGAAAGUGCUGACUGAGAAAGAUCUGUCUGGGUAAGAAAUCCUGUUGUUUGACUGUACAUCUGACUGAAUGUGCUGAGUGAUGAAAAAUGACCAUUUUACCCUGCUGUUAUAUAUAUUGAUGGAUUAAAUUGCUGAAUAAUUAUAAAAACAUACAUAUUAUCAUAUCAAAUCUAAAUUACACACAAAUAAAAAAUGUCAUACAAAAUGUAAAUUAAACAUUAAUAAUUUAAUAUCCAAAUAAAAACAUAAUGAAAUUUAAAAUAACAUAAUUUAAUGUAAAGUAGGUGAAAGUAGUCGAUUUGCAAUCUGAUCACACAAAACAUGCAUAUAUUCAACGGCUUCUGGACCCCAUUCUAUGCCUUGUAUGUUUUCUCUAUCAAUUCCCCCACCUUGGACGUCAGGAGUAACCAGUGUCCUCCUCAAAAUUUCUAAACAAGUCAUCUUCUAUAUUGUAUUUCCUUAUAAAAUUAUGGACCGCGACACAAGCAAUGACUAUGUCUUUUUGCACUGUAAAAGGAUAAGGAGCCAUUUGUUUUAAGAUUGGGAAUCUCGGCUUCAAUACACCAUAAGCACGCUCAAUAACACAAGCAAUGACUGUCUCUUGCAUCUCUUUUUUUUUUUCCCACCAACUUCCUUAUUUUUUGAACGCCCCAAAGAUUCUUCACUUGCACCUACGUGUUGUGUUGAGGUUUCCAUUGGAACAUCAUCAUCAAAAUCAUGGGGACUAAACUCUUCUACAGAACUAGGGAGUGUAGAAGAUGGCCCCCAACUUUGAAAUCCGAUUGAUGUCGACCCUUCAAAUAGUUGGGUGCAAAGAUCAGGGAACAAUAGGGGUUUAGUUUUCAAUGACAACACGAACUUGUUCAACUGUUUACAAUUUUUAUAAAUAUUAGUUUAUGUUAUAAAUUUAAUCAAAUAGUGUAUGUUAUAAAAAUAAUCAUAAUAGUAUUGAUUAAAAAAAUAUUACCUUCCCCUCUUCUUUCCAUUGUUCAUCGGUCAAAUUAAAUUUAUUUUUUAUAGGAUCAUAUAUAUUGCCGGUUUUCUUUUUGAGUUUCACCCAAGCAACAUACUUUGAUUUGUAGUAGUCAGAGUGGUUUCUCAUUUGCUUUUGAUCAACCUCUUUACCGUGUUCGUUUAUCAAUUUUUCGCGUAUUGUCUUCCAUGAACUUGCCUUAAGCCCAGAACCCUCAUGACCAUUAGUGGUUAGUUUAUGGAUACAUGCAUCAAGAAAAGUUUUGUCCUCACUUUCGUUCCAAACCAACAUCCUAAAACAUUAAUAUUUAAAGUAAUUUAUCAUAGUUUUUAUCAAGUUUAAGAACAAUUUUAAACAUAAAGCAAUUUUCAACCAAGGAAGUUAACAUCAUCCUAAAUUAUGAUUUGAUACCUUAUACACAAACAAUUUCAGAUGUCACAAAAGAUAACAAACUAACAAUUAAGGUCAACAAUAUCAAAGCUAUAAAAUAAGAAAAAAAAACAGCCCAAUUUUUGAUUUUAUAGCUUAUACUUUUGAUACUAACACAAGCUCAAUAAUUGGAAGGCAUGUGAUGUUGCAUGCAUUCCCCCUCUCGCUCAUUCUUCAAGGAACAAUUGGAUUAUUAAAAAAGUUAGGUUACCAUUAAUCUUAUAAUAAUUAUUUAUUAUUAAUUUUACUUUUGUACUUUACACAUAAAAACACAACAUUUGAUUGUAUUUUCUGUAAAACAUGUGAUCGUGGGCUUGAAAAUGGGAAUUUACAAACCUACUUGUAUUUUCCAAUUCACAUUCAAUUUCAAUUCACAAGCUAUAAAAUCAAAAUUCAGAAAAAAAAACUUCCAAUUCACUUUCAAUUUCAAUUCAUAAGCUAUAAAAUAUGAACCGGAGAAAAAAACUUCCAAUGUGAAUUGGAGAAAAAAACUUCAAAUUCAGAAAAAAAAAAAAAAACAACUACGAAUUCACAUUCAAUUUUAGAAUUCAUAACAUUAGAAAAAAAAACUUCAAUUUUCAGUUCUUAUACACAAACAACUACAAAACAAAACAUAAACAAACUUCCAAUUCACAUAUAAUUUCGAAAUUCAUCAUAUUAGAACAAACAAUUUCACAUUUCAGUUCUUUACACAAAGAACUACAAAAAAGAACAAAAAAAGCUUAUCAUAUGAACAUACAGGUUGAGAAUUCAUAAUAUUCUAACAAAUACUAAUUUGAUUUCAUAAAAAACUACAAAUUUCAUACCAUCAAAGCAUAAUUGGUAUCUGAUUUUGAAAAUUAUUAACAGAAAAAUUAUCUAACCUGUGUGAUGGAUCGAGAAGGCGUCACUGAUGACGGUGGCGGAGGUCCGGCGAGGUGGCACAGGUCCGACUGUUUGGCGUUCACUCGUUGUGGAGUUCUUCCUGGCGGCUGCUGUGCUUUUAGGUCACUGGAAGGGAAGCGAAUGGGGGAAGAAAUAAUAACGACGCAGGGGCAAGAUAAGGGCAAGAUCGUCUAAUUUCCAGUCAACAAUUGUGUAAAAACUGAGCCAGAAAGCGAUUUGGGUCAGUAGAUCUUACCGAGAAAGCUCAAAUCAAACACCAAAGGUUUGACCGAGUCAGCCCAAUUUGCUGACUCGACCCAGUCAGACAAUUAUCAAACACUCCCUAACUUCUUAUGUGGUUUAAGAUCAUGGUGAAUGUAUGCUCUAUCAAGUCAAAAAAAACCCAAGCUGAAGCAUUAUGAGUUUUGACGUUUGAGGAAAACAAGUCUAAGGCAAUGGAUGAUGAAUGUUUUGAAGUUGAGAGUGACAAGAACGGGAUUGUGAAAUUUGUUUUCAAUAAAGGAAAACAAAAAACAAUGAAUCAAGAAAAUGAAGGAUAGAGAGCCCGUAACUCGAGCUUUAUGUCAAACUUAUAUACGGUGAAGUGUUGCCAUUUAACUUGGUGAAGUCUCCAUUGUGGAAAGAAGCUUUGAGACUUAUAGGAGAGUAUGGGAAAGGAUCGAAACUUCCUUCAUAUCAUGAGGCGAGAGUAACAUACCUAAAGAAAGAGGUAGAAUGUGUUGAAAAAGGGUUGAAUAAGUACAAGGAAGAGUGGAAGAAAACCAAGUGCACUCUUAUGUUUGACGGUUGGACAGAUGGAAAACAAAGGUCUAUCACAAAUUUUCUUGUGAAUAGUCCAAGUCGCACGGAAUUUGUGAAAUCAAUUGACACAUCUUUGUUUGCUAAAGAUGCAAAUAAGUUAUUUGAAAUGCUUAAUUCAAUUGUUGAAGAAAUUGGGGUGGAGAGACCUCGUUUAAAUUGGUCACCGUGUUUAAAUUGGUUUAUGUGUUAGUCGGUUCAAAGUUGGAGCAAGAGAGACCUCGUUUAAAUUGGUCACCGUGUUCCGCCCAUUUAAUUGACUUGAUGUUGCAAGACAUAGGAGGUGGAAAAACAUUCAAAGACACUUUAGAUAAAGCACGAAAAGUAACCGUUUAUAUUUAUAGACAUUGUGUUUUGUUAUCCAUGUUUAGAAGGUUCACCGAUGGUUAAGAAUUAACACUGGGUAACACGAUUCGCUACUUCUUUUCUUACAUUGAAAAGAUUUCAAGGGUUAAAACAUCCAAUUCAAUAGUUGUUUGCUUCUAAUGAAUGGGCCGAAUCCACCUUUGCUUCUAAAGAUGAAGGGAAGUUAGUUGAAAAAAUUAUUUUGGUUGAUGUCAACUUUUGGAAGGCUAUAAAAUAUUGUUUGAGUUGUGUAGUUCCUAUUUUUAAGGUAUUGAGACUUAUGGAUGGUGAUGUGAAACCGACAAUGGGAUAUAUAUAUAUAUAUAUAUAUAUAUAUAUAUAUAUAUAUAUAUAUAUAUAUAUAUAUAUAUGAUUAAACACAUACUUUCUUUUAUUUUAUAAACUAGUCUUCAUUUCGAGGAGAACUUUAAUGCUGAUAAAGAAGUCAAAUGUGGAUUGUAUGAUGUCAUUGAAAGGAUGUAUGAUAGACCAACAGUGGUGACAAUUCAUGAACAACUUGUAAAGUUCAUUGAGAGUAUCGGGAUGUUUGGGAUAUCCGCAGCCGUGUUAAUGAGAAAGAAAAUGCAACCUGGUAACUUUUAGGAAAAAUAUAACCUAGUAAAAUAUAUAAUAAUUACAUUAUUAUUUAUUACUCAUUUGUUCUAUUAAAUUGUACCUAAAUGGUGGUCAAGUUAUGGAGAUGAGUGCCCAGAACUUCAACAUCUUGCUAUUCGUGUCUUGAGCCUCACAUGUAGUGCCACUGGAUGUGAGAGAAAGUGGAGCAGUUUUGACCAUAUACACUCCAAAAAGAGGAACCGUUUGGAGUAACAAAGGUUGAAUGUAUUGGUGUUUUGUGAAAUAUAACAUCAACCUUGAUACACGCCUUCAAAAGAGAAAAGAAAGAGGGGAGACUUAUGAUCCAAUAUGUUUGUCGGACAUGGAGUCAGAUGAUGAAUGGAUUACUGAAAAGGAGGAUGUAUGUCUCCCCGAAGAUAUCUCAUGGAUGGAUGUUCAUGAAUGUUUUAAAGAGGAUGAAGGAACUAGUACUAAUAAAAGGAAGAGAGGACCAAGGAACCUAAACAAAGUGCCUAAUGUUAAAGACAAAGCUAAAAGCCAACUUGUUGACUUAGAUGAUGAGGAUGAGGGAGAUGAUAUUGGUUUCCAUGAGACAACGGUGGUUGAAAAUGAAGAUGAUGAUGACCACUUUAUCCCUAAAGUUUAGUUUUAUGAUUUAAACACACCAAGUCUUUUUGUCACUUGCUUUGUUACUAAAUCACUAGUUGUUUUUUGGUACUUUAUGACAUGUAUGACCCUAACUAGUGAAUUUGUAAUAUAUUAGUAAAUGUGCCUAAAUAUUCGGCUUAUAUUUUGUUGACA